ensembl:lncRNA
AAAGGAUGACACCCAUGUAAUGCUUAGUGGGUGGAUACAAUGCAUUCAUCAGGGCAUCUGUUAAAACACACACCUCAAAUAACUAAGAAAAGAAAACAAGUCAGUCUGCUCUCCCACAGGCACUCCCUGUUAUUUUUAUGCACGAACGUCAUUAUCUUUGGCAUUGUUUUUUAAAUAGUCCCAGAUUUCAUAAUCAACAUCAACUCCUCUUUCCUCAUGAGACAGUCAGAGAGAGAGGCUGAACAUAAGCAUGCAGAGCUGAUAUGACACUGACCAGUGUUUAACCUAGUCAGGUUUAAAACAGAGUUAUUCUGUUCUUCCUGGGGGGAAAAAGCUUAAUCAUUUAGAAUAGUUUUAUUUAGCUUUGAAUGAGCAGAAGUGGAUGAAAUGCCGGCUGGGAAAAGCUCGUCUCUCUGCCAGAUUUUACUGUCUGUCUGCCUCCUGUUUUCCUCUACAGAUGGGAAAAUCAUCAAAGCUGAGUCUGGACAGAAUGUGUCUCUGCCAUGUCAAACUCCAAACAUCAGCAUGCCCAUCAGAGCUGUGGAGUGGUUCAGACUUGACCUGCAGGAAGGACAUGUUCUCAUGUACCGGGGUGAGCAGUUUAUUUCAUUCAACCAGCUUCCAUCGUUUGUGAACCGGGUGGAUCUGCAGGACAGACAGAUGAAGGACGGAGACGCGUCUUUGACUCUGAAGGAUGUGACGAGUGAUGACACUGGAACAUUUCAGUGUUACGUGGUCCAGAGAGGAACAAAUGGCAGGAAAAGCAUUUUUGAGUAUAUCAGCACCGUCUACCUGAGAGUUGUUCCUCCAGGUCAGCCAGGAGGACACAGGAAAGGCAAAGGGAACGAGGAUGUAUCCUCUGGACUGGACUUUUGUUUAACAGUUAGUGUUAUACUUGUUACGCUAGCUCUUGCUUUUUUUAUGACCUUCACAAUACCCAAAACACAGGAGAAGAAGAUUUGAUCCAGACCUCAGAUGACUCGACAGGUGAACCUUAAGUCACCUACCCACUAAACAUUGGACAUGGGAUAGACGUGCAGAUCAUGUCUAUACUGGGUCCAUCAGUCCAUGACCAAUUCUGAACAUCUAUAUAUCCAAACUAGGUCCACAACUUGAAAGACCUCAUCUGGUGUUACAGAAAUGGCAGAUAAAAGUCACUCCGAGGUCACUUUGCUCAGUGGGUUGUAGAUGUCUAACACCUGAAUUUAUUUAAUAAUGUCUUUAGUGUUUCUUUAGAAACAUUAUUAAAAAGAUUUUAAAAAAUAAAUGAAUGAAACAAAGUGUUUCCUUUUCCAAGAUUGUUUAGCUGUUAAAAAGCAAUCAUUUAAAUCAAAGCUGGAUGUAGUCAAGUCUUCAUAGAGCAGCCAGUCCCAAAUGACUGCUACAAUCCACUUUCACCAAAACUUGUUUUUUUAUUUCCAGAAUUAUUUCUAUCAUUGUGUUUUCAUUUAUUAAUUUGAUGAUUAAAUUUUUUGGGAAGCACUGUGUAACACUAUAAAUGUAUGAUCACAUACAUCAUGUUGAAACAGGAUUUCUACAUGAUCUAGUCCUCACUCAUUUUGUUUCUAUACUGUACAUACAGCCUGGUAUAUAUUUCUUUGGGAGACGGUGGAAUAUGUUUGUCACUGUCAGACGUUGUGUAUUGUUGUAUGUGUUCAGAGAUAAAGAGAGUUUACAAAGUGAAUAAUAAGCAGGUUAAUCAGUGUUAGUGAAUCUGCUCAGAUAUAUUAUUGAAGCUGCAGAGCAGGAGGAUUUAGUUGUAAGUUACACUGCAUGUAAAAGGGAUCAAUAAAAGGUCAUUAUUGUGUAAAUUUAUACCUAAACAAACAAGGUAACCAGGUGGGUUUAAAGAUCUUAACCUGAGUUAACGUUGUGUUUUUAUGUGACGACAAGAUGACAGUGUGUACAUGGACAAAAAAAGAUGGUGAAAUUCUGUUUAAUAAAUAGAUGAGGAAGAGUUUGCAGACUGAACACAACUUAUGUCUCCUGCUCGUGUUUUUCUGUAUAAAACAGGCCCAUCUGAAUGCCUGCAACAGCUACAACGAGCUCUCAUGUUCCCUGUUUCUCAUGAAAACACUGCAAAAUGUCAACAUUUGGGACUUAUAGAAAAUCCCAUUCUAAUUUAUUUAACAUCCUUCUCAUUAGAGUCAGUCUAACUCUGUAAACACCCUCAUUACUAACACAACCCACAUACUCAUAAAAAAAACACUUGUCGUGAAAUCAAUCAAUGUAGAGCAGUGUCACAAACCACGGAGGCCCCAGAAAAGUGCAAUCAAACGGUGAGUUUAUUAACACCCAGGAGAAAACAUCAGCAUACGUCUUCUGACAAAAAUACAUGUUGAGAACACUUAUAAAGCAGUGAGGUACACCCCCCCCCCCCCCCCCCCACAUGGCGUAAAAAUAGGUUAAAGACGGCAGUUACAGUAAAUGGUACAUCUUAGAUGGCUAUAAACAGACAUAGAACUACUCUUUUCUAUAACACCUUCCAAACAAGGUAAUAACUUCAAGCCUUCAAGGUCUCUGAGGGCUGGUUGUCGACUCCAGUCAUCUGUUACCAAGUAGACCAAAAUGCAGUUGGAAGCUAAAUGAGUUAAGGCCUCAGGCCUGACACAUUCCUAGAUUAUCUGUGUUAUAUGUAUUGUAAGCAUGCAUCCAAUCAUCCUUCUAUGUUCUAGUUUCCCACACCAUGGAUCACGUGGACAGUCACACCAGUGAAGCUUAAAACCUUUAAUGAACCGAACAUCAACUCGAAAUAAGCACAAAUAUGCAAUGUGUACGAAAUACUCCUGGCCGUACCUGUAAUAAAAGUUAACAUAAUAAAAGGAUCCUUAAAUUAACAUCUUCAAUAAACGACUUUAAUGCAAUAUCAAUACUGUGAGAAAUAUUAUUAAAUGGAAUAAUGCUGUAAAGAAUGUUAUUAAUCCAAUUGUAAUGCUGUAGGUUAUAUGGCAGCAAUAAAAGAAUUUCUGUAUCUCCACACACUCUUGCAGAAAAGGUAUGAAAAACAUUCUGUGCUUAGGAAACAGCAGAAACGAACAGGGUCUGUGUGUGUUAACUAUAAAGUUUGGAAAUAAAGGUAGAGUAACAAACAGUUUUUCCUGUCUUCCUUAUCUGUGUGUUAUCUUUAAUUUCAAGGGAGUAGCAUGUUUAAAUGCACAUGUGUCAAACGCUACUAAAAACACAACCCCCGCGGCGGAAGUAAGAAAUACUUCUCGCUGCAGUCGGGGCACGUGUGGAAACAGACACCAUAAAAUAAUUAGAGGCACUUAUUUGUAUUUAUGUUUUGGUGCACCAUCAACCCUUGGCGUGUUUUUUGAUUAGUCUCAGAUUUCAUAAUAAAGAACUUUAAC